rnacentral:rRNA from 1 species
GAUGAACGCUGGCGGCGUGCCUAAUUCAUGCAAGUCGAGCGAACAGACGAGGAGCUUGCUCCUCUGACGUUAGCGGCGGACGGGUGAGUAACACGUGGAUAACCUACCUAUAUGACUGGGAUAACUUCGGGAAACCGGAGCUAAUACCGGAUAAUAUAUUGAACCGCAUGGUUCAAUAGUGAAAGACGGUUUUGCUGUCACUUAUAGAUGGAUCCACGCCGCAUUAGCUAGUUGGUAAGGUCACGGGCUACCAAGGCAACGAUGCGUAGCCGACCUGAGAGGAGGGUCAGCCACACUGGAGGUGAGACACGGACCAGACGCAUACGGGAGGCAGCAGAGGGGAAUAUGGGACAAUGGGCGCAAGCCUGAUCCAGUCAGACCGCGUGGGAGAAGAAGACCUUCGGGUUGUAAAGCCCUUUUGUUGGGAAAGAAAAGCAGCAGGUUAAUACCCCGCGGGUCUGACGGUACCCAAAAAAUAAGCACCGGCUAACUUCGUG